rnacentral:tRNA from 1 species
GCGGGUGUGGCGGAAUGGUAGACGCAGCGGACUUAAAAUCCGCUGACGGCAACGUCAUGGGGGUUCGAGUCCCUUCACCCGCA